AAAAAAAAAAUAAGUAAAAAUGACACUCGGCAAAAAGACGAGGCACUCACACACAGACAAACUACUAGGACGGCGAAGAGCGCGCACCCUUAAAGAUAUAUGGCAACGGGGAUCGGCAAAUUCUGGCUUCCCUGGAAUUCCGAAGGCUUGAAAAACUGUAACAUGCGCCAAGUUAUCUUGGUCUUAUACACCAAAUCCACCAGUCGAAUGAUCGCAGCAUAGCAUUAAGCAGCAUCCAACAUGACGUGCGCGCACACCAUAUCCAUCCAACAGACAAACCAAAGCGGCCAGUCUGGAACGAGAAGCGCAUGAAGCUACAAAUCAACAUCCACCAAUCGCUAACGACAAUCUAGCUUUGAGGAAACAAACACUCAGGGAUAGAAGGGAAAUGCACAAUCGAGAUCCUAGUGUUAUGGCCGUUGAUUGGUCCAUGUUCCGUCCCAUUUGAGAAUGCAAUAAAGGACAUGGAUGCUAAUAAGAUACAUGAUUGGUGGAAUAUUAAGUUAAAGAUAUCUAGACAUUCGUUGCGAUAAGGAUCAACUACGCCAUGCAAUGCAGUAUGAACUCAUGUCGCACCAUACCGAAGUAUGGAAGCAUGUGUGUUUACGCCUGACAUCCCUUGGUAGUCUCGUGUGUCGGUGUAAGAGGGACGAGAGGGUAGUUUGAUCAGGGAUGUCAAGGAGAUGCUUGUGUCUACAGAGGCGAAAAAAAAAAUUAAAAUGAAGUGAAGUGAAAAGAAAAGAAAAAAAAGAGAACAAAGAAAAAUAAAAAAAGAAACAAAAGAAAGGUACGACAUUGGAAUCGUAUGGAUGAAUAAAGAUCGCAAUGUGAAACCGUCUACAAUGAGAAAAAAAAAAAAAAAAAAAAAAAAACCAAUAAAAAAAUGCUUCUAUGGUAAAUGUAUGAUGAUGAUGGUAUGGGAGUUUAAGACGGCGGAAUUGACUACUGACCAAUGUAUGUGAGAAAAGAAAAACAAACGCAUGCAAAGUAGCGAAAAUGAACGAAUACAAGAGAGGAAAGAAGAAAGAACAAACGAAAAAAAGACGAAAAAACAACGAUUCAAAAGACGAAAACAACGAUGCAAAAAAAAACAUUCCUGUCAUAUACUAUAGGGAAAGAAAUAUCAACUAUAUUGGAAAAGAUGAUAUGUAUGAUACAAAUGACAUACUAAAUGAUAUGAAAAUGCAAAUGUAUGAUGCCUUUUCUUUUUUUGUUUGAGUCCGUUUGACCAUUGAUGAUGUUUUGCCAGUAGUAAAACAAUUGUAUGGCAUUUCAUGAUAACUUGAAAGAUAGAUAGAUAGGUAGUGACACUUCUCUCCUCUCUCAAUUGGCAUUUUUCUCGACUUUCCGCUUUCUUCCUUUCUCAACAAGUCUGUGAGCUAUUUGUUGCUCUUCCAUACAUGCCACCAUACGAUUUGUUGCUACGAGGGAUUUUUUAGUGAGAUGCGACGAUGAAGGGGUAUGGGAAUCUUUUUUUUUCUUUUUUUUCUCUUUUCCACAUGACUCAUCCAACCUGGGCUGGAGAAGUUAACGAUGGACAAAAGUGCUCCGUCACUAUCGAAGUUGACCAAGGAGAAUUUUUUCACACGACUCCGUUAAGGCCGGUAAAGAGAUUGUAUGUUAUAGUAUAGGCAAAAACAUUGGAAGAGCACAAACAAUGAGGGAGAGAAAAAAAGAGUAAGAAAAAAAAUUUAGGUAAGAAAUUGAUAAGGAUGAGUUAAGAGAACGCCAAUUUGAUAAAAGAAGAGAGAAUAUGAGUCAGCUUUUACGUAGAGUCAACUUUUACACAGAGUCAACUUUUAACGCAGUAUUAUUUUUUGAAUCACAAAUAUCUGCAUCUUUUUUUUUUCUUCUCUUUCUCUUUCUCUUCCCCCCUUUGCACAACAGUGACAAGAAUCAUGCUUGUAGACGUGUUAAUCGCCUGUUUGCCACAAACAUGAUCUCGUUUUCAUUUUCGUUGUCCCCUUUCUUUGUAAUCACAUUUCUCUCUUGAUUGCUGACCCUAAUUGUGAAAAACAACAUCCCUGGUACUUUGCCGAUUCCGUUUGUGCACUACACACAAACGAUGGGUUUUAGCUGUUAUUCUCACGGUACAAAGAGCUCCACCAUAGCCUAGCAUUUACAAAAUAGAAUACACUACCGAAGUAGAACACAGAGCCGAAAUAGAACGCAGCACCGAAAUAGAACGAAGCACCGAAAUUGCUUUGUGUCGUAGAACG